ensembl:lncRNA
CUGUGUACAUAUAUUUCCCCAUUAUUCUGCCAGUCUGAUUUGGGUAUGUCAAAGGCCCUCCAUGAUGCCCAGGAUCUGCCAGGGUGCUCGAGUAUUUAUGCCGUGAUUCAGAGUAGGCCUGAAGGUCAGGAGAGGCCACAUGAGGAUGCAGCUCACGUGACAACCAGUUCACUGUGAUUGAUAGUUGUGCUGUAAAAUAUUAUGAAACCUCACCAUUAACUCUAUAUCUCUGCACCAUGUCUGCAAGCAGUGGAACGGUAGGUAGCAGGCAGCACUUUUCCCUCUCAGUCUCUCCAAAUGGUUUUCUGAGUAAUGUCACAACAGUGCUGGAAGGUUGAGAAGGGUCACUGAGGCUGACAAAUAAUGAUUUUCAAAAGCAAACAGAGCCCAUGAGUUGAAGAAACAUAUUUGUUCUUAAGAAGUCCACAUGCACCUCCAUGACCACACCAUAAAAGAGAUCAUUGAACUGCGCUUCACUAGAUAUGGUAGACUGGACAUGUGGUUCAUGGACAAAGGUGAUCCACAACUACCUGUAGCAGACGUGCAGCCAGAAAAUAAUGAGCACAGCUCAGUAGACAUCAGAGAGAAGAAUUUGCUCCCAUGUCCCAUCAUAGGGGACAUGACGACGUGGUGAACCCAGCCAUAAGACCACACACAUGUGACGUGUUGCACAUACAUAUUCUCACCAUAUGACAAGUGCACUGUAAUAUGAACAAGGGCGUCUGGUUUUGGUAACACAAUAAAUACAGCUGUUUGCAUGACUAUGAAGAGGAGCAAGAAGGAAAUAACACUCUGGCAUAACUCUCCAGUAAUUCCAAAAUAGAUAGCCUGUCCUGGCUGUUUCUCUCUCAAAACUGCCCCAUAACAGAGAAAUAGGCAACUCCACAGUACUAACUAACCCAGCUAUACGAAAAAUUGUUAAUAAAGGCAGCAGAAUCUAAUCCUUAACCGAGAUCCCUCAGGUGGCAUUUGCUUUAUCUCAUGAACUCAGCUUUUCAGAUGGUAUGAAACGGUGUCUUUUUGCUCCCGCAUUUGUUUGCCCAGUGAUGUCAUCCACAUUAUCGCAAAGACCAGGCUGGAAGUCUUCAAAGAAAAAGGCUUGUUUAAACAAAAAGAGAUCUCUCCUUGCCCGAUUCUUUCAGAUAAUGACUGAUGCUUUUGCUUUGUGCUUAAAGUGGAACUUCUAAUCGGGGAAAAAAAAAUACAUAGAAAACAAACUCCAAACGGUCUGAUUCCAAGAAGUCUUCUUUUCAUUUAUUAACAAAAGAAACUUUUCACUUUCACCCAAACCUAGCAUAGAGCCAUUUAUUUUCUGUGUACCAGUAAAACCAAUCAGAUGAAAAAAUAUUUUCUGCCAGAGCUUGAAAGUAAAUUCAGUUCUCCAAGAAAAGCUUGUUUCCACAGGCUUUGAGGCUUUUAUAAGUUGCAUUCAGCCUUCCUUCUCCAAUUACUAUAGACAUAAAUUACAAGGUGAGCUAAAAUAUUUAGUCCUUUUUUUAGAGCAAAAUGCCGGUCUCAGUUCUGCUGCAGAAGAAUAAAUUGUAUCAUUAUAGCCUUCUUCUGGGUCUUGUUAUUCUGACUUUUUGACUCUCGCUAGCUGCAGUCUAUACAAUGCACAACUGUAUUUGUUCACAAGGAAUGCUUUGGUUCCUUUUGACUUUUUCCUUUCCACUUCCUAAUGGUUUACAUGUAGAAAUAGAGCUUUUGAAAAAUUACCUAACACAUACUAUGUUUAAUGAGUACAUUUAAACAUACUUUAGCUACAAAUCUUAUCAGCUGAUUACUUAACCUUUGUGGAUAGGCUAAAUAUUUUCUUCGACGCUUAAAUAAAUAUGAUACAUGGUUCCCGUGGAAAGCCUAAUGAGAAGGAAGUUGUUUUUAAACUUAAGUCAAGAGUUUUCAUUUAUUUUAUCAGUAUUUUUUUUCCAAGUGAUCAAAGAAAGCAGCUUGCAUGGCCAAAUUGCUAAAAGAUAAAUUAAGUACUAAAGUAUUAACUCUGGUGUACUUUAUUUGGGGUGUCCCUAAAAUGACAUCUGGAAGGGCAAUCAGGAAUCUGCCAUAUACUACGAAGAACAUGGUAUGAGGUGUUAAGUCAAAAUCCUGACUUCUCUCAAGGUGGACUUAAAGAAUGAAAAUCAAGAUGUGUGUAUUUCUUUCAGAUUUCAGUAACAAUGAGACGUGUAUGUAAAAUCCCUAGCAGUUGUCCUGGUUCCCCUUAAUGCCUUAUGAAAUGAGUGGGCAACUGCUCUGUCAGGGUGAUGCAAGAGGCACACUCGUGCAGGUGGUCACAUCACAGACAGGAGAUGGAGCA